CUUUUCUGUGAACCUACAUUUUGGAUGCAGGAUAUCUUUUAUGCUUUCUUUUUUUCUUCCUUCCCUUUGGAAGUCCAAGUGUUUAUUUGCAUGCAAGCAAUAGACAUGAUGAACCAUCUUAACUUGAGGAGAUUGAUCUGCAGACUCUGUUUUCCUUUCGUACAUCCACAAUAAAGCUCUUGGUGUAAGAA